AGGAGCUUGCUCCUUUGACGUUAGCGGCGGACGGGUGAGUAACACGUGGGUAACCUACCUAUAAGACUGGGAUAACUUCGGGAAACCGGAGCUAAUACCGGAUAACAUUUGGAACCGCAUGGUUCUAAAGUGAAAGAUGGUUUUGCUAUCACUUAUAGAUGGACCCGCGCCGUAUUAGCUAGUUGGGAGGGUAACGGCUUACCAAGGCGACAAUACGUAGCCGACCUGAAAGGGUGAUCGGCCACCCUGGAACUGAAACCCGGUCCAAACUCCUACGGGAGGCAGCAGUAGGGAAUCUUCCGCAAUGGGCGAAAGCUUGACGGAGCAACGCCCCGGGAUUGAUGAAGGGUUUCGGCUCGUAAAACUCUGUUAUUAGGGAAAAACAAAGGUGUAAGUAACUGUGCACGUCUUGACGGUACCUAAUCAGAAAGCCACGGCUAACUACGUGCCAGCAGCCGCGGUAAUACGUAGGUGGCAAGCGUUAUCCGGAAUUAUUGGGCGUAAAGCGCGCGUAGGCGGUUUCUUAAGUCUGAUGUGAAAGCCCACGGCUCAACCGUGGAGGGUCAUUGGAAACUGGGAAACUUGAGUGCAGAAGAGGAAAGUGUAAUUCCAUGUGUAGCGGUGAAAUGCGCAGAGAUAUGGAGGAACACCAGUGGCGAAGGCGACUUUCUGGUCUGUAACUGACGCUGAUGUG
rnacentral:rRNA from 1 species